CACAGCCCUAUUUGAUUACAAAUACUAAAUGACAAAACAUCCUCGUGAUGCAGUAUUUGAAGAUUCAAAACCUAUUUACGAAUUAUAUUUCACUGUAGAAUUAGGAAGUUAAGAAUUUUAUCAUUUAGGAAUUCUAUUAUUUGUUUAUUGUUAUUUUCCUAGCUUAAGUUUGUUUAGAACUAUUAAUUAGCAUUGGCUUAGUAUUUGUUUCUUUUAGGUUAUU
rnacentral:misc_RNA from 1 species